ACGAACGCUGGCGGCGUGCCUAAUACAUGCAAGUUGAGCGCUGAAGGUUGGUACUUGUACCAACUGGAUGAGCAGCGAACGGGUGAGUAACGCGUGGGGAAUCUGCCUUUGAGCGGGGGACAACAUUUGGAAACGAAUGCUAAUACCGCAUAAAAACUUUAAACACAAGUUUUAAGUUUGAAAGAUGCAAUUGCAUCACUCAAAGAUGAUCCCGCGUUGUAUUAGCUAGUUGGUGAGGUAAAGGCUCACCAAGGCGAUGAUACAUAGCCGACCUGAGAGGGUGAUCGGCCACAUUGGGACUGAGACACGGCCCAAACUCCUACGGGAGGCAGCAGUAGGGAAUCUUCGGCAAUGGACGAAAGUCUGACCGAGCAACGCCGCGUGAGUGAAGAAGGUUUUCGGAUCGUAAAACUCUGUUGGUAGAGAAGAACGUUGGUGAGAGUGGAAAGCUCGUCAAGUGACGGUAACUACCCAGAAAGGGACGGCUAACUACGUG
rnacentral:rRNA from 1 species